rnacentral:ncRNA from 2 species
CUCCACACCUAGGGGGGUCCCGGCAAGGGGCUGAGAUACUGCUGGCAUGCGUGCGGCGCAGUGACCCUUUGAACCUGAUCCGGAUCAUGCCGGCGAAGGGACAGGUGGAGCUGACCGCA